GCUCGCAUGGGGCAGAGACGCGGGGGGAGGCGAAGGGGGCGAGCGUUGUUGGGAAUUACUGGGCCGAAAGGGGUCGCAGGCGUGUUGAGAAGUCAGGGGUGAAAGCCCGGAGCUGAACUCAGUAACUGCCAUUGAAACUGUUGAGCUGGAGUAGUAGAGAAGUGAGUGGAAUGCCCAGUGUAGAGGUGAAAUUCGUAGAUAUUGGGAAGAACACCGGUGGCGAAGGCGGCUCACUGGCUCAUUACUGACGCUCAUGCGCGACAGCGUGGGGAUCAAACAGGAUUAGAUACCCUAGUAGUC
rnacentral:rRNA from 1 species